UAUGGCCACAUCACAUUGAAACACCAGUUCUUGUAAGAUCACAGAAGUUAAGCAACAUUGAGACUGGUCAGUACCUAGAUAGGUGACCACUUGGAAAUACCA